rnacentral:rRNA from 1 species
GGUGAACGCUGGCGGCGUGCCUAAUACAUGCAAGUCGAGCGAACAGAUGAGGAGCUUGCUCCUCUGACGUUAGCGGCGGACGGGUGAGUAACACGUGGAUAACCUACCUAUAAGACUGGGAUAACUUCGGGAAACCGGAGCUAAUACCGGAUAAUAUAUUGAACCGCAUGGUUCAAUAGUGAAAGACGGUUUUGCUGUCACUUAUAGAUGGAUCCGCGCCGCAUUAGCUAGUUGGUAAGGUAACGGCUUACCGAGGCAACGAUGCGUAGCCGACCUGAGAGGGUGAUCGGCCACACUGGAACUGAGACACGGUCCAGACUCCUACGGGAGGCAGCAGUAGGGAAUCUUCCGCAAUGGGCGAAAGCCUGACGGAGCAACGCCGCGUGAGUGAUGAAGGUCUUCGGAUCGUAAAACUCUGUUAUUAGGGAAGAACAAAUGUGUAAGUAACUAUGCACGUCUUGACGGUACCUAAUCAGAAAGCCACGGCUAACUACGUG